rnacentral:rRNA from 1 species
GACGAACGCUGGCGGCGUGCUUAACACAUGCAAGUCGAACGGAAAGGCCCUGCUUUUGUGGGGUGCUCGAGUGGCGAACGUGUGAGUAACACAUGAGUAACCUGCCCUUUACUUUGGGAUAACUUCAGGAAACUGUUGCUAAUACCUGAUAGGAGCUCCUGCUGCAUGGUGGGGUUUGGACAGUUUCGGCGGUUGGGGAUGGACUCGCGGCUUAUCAGCUUGUUGGUUGGGUAGUUGCUUACCAAGGCUUUGACAGGUAGCCGGCCUGAGCGGGGGACCGGCGACAUUGGGACUGAGAGACGGCGCAGACUCCUACGGGAGGCAGCAGUGGGGAAUAUUGCACAAUGGGCGGAAGUCUGAGGCAGAAACGCCGCGUGCGGGAUGAAGGCCUGCGGGGUGUAAACCGCUUUCGCCUGUGACGAAGCGUGAGUGACGGUAAUGGGUAAAGAAGCACCGGCUAACUACGUG